AUGUGGAGAUAGAAACUAUGAACCAAAGUUUAAGAAAUAUGGGGAAUAAGAAGAUCCGUCUUCUUAUACAUCCAACAUAUGCAUGAUGCAUAUCUAACAGGAGUCUAAAAGUGAGCUGCAGCAUCAAGGGGAGACAUCAUUCCUGAAUGCCCACGUGUGCUAGAGAUUCUCCACACACGAAUCCUGAGUGAGCCUUGCGCAAAUGGACUCAUGAGUGUGUUAAAGGCCCCCCACUUCUUCAUGAAGGGUCUCACGGAGCCUCUAGAGGAGCUCAGGACUGUAGCCAGCCCUCCACCCUCUUGCUGUGUGGUCUUCAAAAUCUCUUGCUGCUUGGCCUCUGCAUCUGUGAAAUGGGGAUCAAAUUUCAUCCCUGCCUGUCUGUUUACUCAGUGAGGCCUGGAUGAAUAAUGAUUAAUGAUCACAGGAGAAGCAUGUUGUGCCCCGAGGCAGACUCAUUUAUUAUGGAACAGAGUCUAUACUUCUUUCCACCCUGACAAGAUUAAACAACAACAAGAAGUAAAAUAAGCUAAGCGCACGGAGAAGGCUGUAGAGUCCCAGGAUACCCGACAGCGAAUCAUCAGCCCAGGAUCACACGUAGGUCCCACAGUGUCAAUCUGACCCACUGCAGCCAUCCUGGACUCCUGGUGGCCUUGGCUUCUGAUCUUCCAUUGACUGUGACCGGCAGGAAACCAUGUUCAAGGACAUUGCAUGUGUCUGCCCAGCACCCACUGAAGUAACAACUGGCCUGAGGGCGUCCUCUUGGCGAGGCACAGGAGAGAAAGAUUUAGCCGUGUGAUGAAGGGAACCAUCCUUCUCACUCUGCUACAUGUAUGUGUACCUACUGGGUGCACAUACCCAGUAUCUUCCCUGCAGCUCCCGAGCUAACAUCAACAGUAGAUGGAUUUGAAGCCCUCCUCCACAUACACGUGUUCUCAAGUGUAAAUCUAAGUGAGGUGUAGACAAACAGAAGGCAGUGGCUGAACUUCCUUUGGGACUGAGCGACCACCCUGGUCUCACUGGAACCACAUGUGGCAGUCAUAUCACUUCCUGCUGAUGGUAUCUGCAUGUGGGGUGAGGAAGGGCAGUUUGCAAUAUGGCAGCCGCUUGGCGGUUGCAAUUCUGUUGAGGACAAAUAUUAGUUGAACACACUCUGCUUUUAUUUCUGAGUAACAUCAUCUCCUGCCCUGAAGAAAAAGUAUGAGUGUUAAGAGUUCAGAAAAAUUUCCAAGCUGUGAGAGCUGAUCUGGGUGCAAGGGAAACACAAGCAUGCUUGCAUUAGAGAACCACAAACCUAAUUUGGUAGACUUAUUUUGAAUUUCUCUGUGAUUUGGGGCUCUCACGAUACCUAUUUGCAAGUGAAUAUGGAUACUGACAGAGACCUGGGAGGAGAAUGGAAGGCUGUUUACCCUAAAUACAUAAUAUGGUUUAAUGAGAGUGAUGGGGUCAUGCCAGCAGAAAUGACUCAUGGUUGAACAAGACAGUUUCUCCAAGAAAGUGAGAUUUACUGAAAUGGGCUCUGGCUAACUACUUAUUUUCUGUACUAUUCAGAUAUCUUGCUCCCUUUGUUUAGCGACCAUGAGUAUUCUGUGGAAAAUGCAAUUAUACUGACAUUGCAUUAACAGAGUCCCUUUAGCUCCAUUAUGAGGACUCAGCAGAAGAUUUAAUCACCAACCAGAUAACUAACUGUAAGCCCAGUUUUUACUUCGGGAAUGCACCUUCCCUAAGAGCAAGCUGCUCAUUCUUCUGUUUACCUUGGCUUGAGUUACAGAAAAUAACUGGGUUUCAAGGUCUUUGGAAGAAUGAAGGUAUGUGUCUAUUUGCAUAUUCCUGAACACAAUUUCAAGAGCAAAUGUCUAAUCUUUGGGAAAAGUGC